CUCUUAUCCCGAGCUGGUGGAGGGACAGGCCCAAUGAAACCCAGCAACCGGUUUCUCUUAUUAAUGGAAAAAAACAGUUUCUGAGACAACUACGGUGCUAACCUGAUGCAAGGUGUUCAAUACCUUGAGCGAUAAGAG
rnacentral:ncRNA from 23 species